rnacentral:rRNA from 1 species
GUAGUCCAUGCCGUAAACGUUGGGCGCUAGGUGUGGGACUCAUUCCACGAGUUCCGUGCCGCAGCUAACGCAUUAAGCGCCCCGCCUGGGGAGUACGGCCGCAAGGCUAAAACUCAAAGGAAUUGACGGGGGCCCGCACAAGCGGCGGAGCAUGCGGAUUAAUUCGAUGCAACGCGAAGAACCUUACCAAGGCUUGACAUAUACCGGAAACAUCCAGAGAUGGGUGCCCCUUUUAGGUCGGUAUACAGGUGGUGCAUGGUUGUCGUCAGCUCGUGUCGUGAGAUGUUGGGUUAAGUCCCGCAACGAGCGCAACCCUCGUUCUAUGUUGCCAGCACGUGAUGGUGGGGACUCAUGGAAGACUGCCGGGGUCAACUCGGA